GACGAACGCUGGCGGCGUGCUUAACACAUGCAAGUCGAACGGUGACCUCGAGAGCUUGCUCUUGAGUGAUCAGUGGCGAACGGGUGAGUAACACGUGAGUAACCUGCCCCAGACUCUGGAAUAACCCCGGGAAACCGGAGCUAAUACCGGAUACGAAGUAGAGCUGCAUGGCUACUACUUGGAAAGUUUUUCGGUCUGGGAUGGACUCGCGGCCUAUCAGCUUGUUGGUGAGGUAACGGCUCACCAAGGCGACGACGGGUAGCCGGCCUGAGAGGGCGACCGGCCACACUGGGACUGGGACACGGCCCAGACUCCUACGGGAGGCAGCAGUGGGGAAUAUUGCACAAUGGGCGAAAGCCUGAUGCAGCGACGCCGCGUGAGGGAUGACGGCCUUCGGGUUGUAAACCGCUUUUAGUAAGGAAGAAGGGGGGCUUGCUCCUUGACGGUACUUGCAGAAAAAGGACCGGCUAACUACGUGCCAGCCGCCGCGGUAAUAC
rnacentral:rRNA from 1 species